UUGCAUCAUGGCUUGCUAGUCAAUCUCAACAUGCCAAAGCUUCACCAAAAUCUUUGAAGAGACAGGACUUCAUAGAAGGAGUUAGGCCACCAGGAAAAUGUGUAUUUAUCGAUCCUUGAUAAAGAUUUACCUUCUCUUGGAAAACAUCAUACAUGAAUGCCUCACAUUUAUGAGCAAUGCCUUUGGUGCUUCUCACCUGCAUGCACUCAACCAAAUUCUUGCUCACUUCUUUUCUUUCCAUUCUACUUCAAAUAAUACUCCAAACUGAGAAACCACUACUAACCUGGUCACUCUCUGCUUUAAGUAGGGUUGCAUACACCAAAAUGGCUUCUUUGUACUGCACAAUGAUUAAGGUUAAGGAUAACGAAUGAGCCAAAACGGUGGAUCGUCAAGUUUGAAACUAAGAUCAUUCCACCAGAUCAGUACAUAUUUGUUCAACCCACAACAGAAACACAUUAAAUGAAACAAAACACAACUACGUUGAUUAUUCUUAGUGGUCCAACAUGGCAGAAAAAUAAUUUUGGGAUAUGGAACAGAUCAGAUCAGAUUAAACAUAUUAUACAUACCACGUCAAGGAUUCGGAAACACAGCUGCUUGUGAGGAAAAAUAACCUAUAAAAAAGGAUAAAUAUCAUUGAGUGGCACAAAAGAUUAGCAUAGCAAGGAGUGCCUUAGUGCUGAAGCAUUUACCGGCAAAUCUGGAAUAGGAAUUCUCUCAUAGAUUUACAAAAAUGUACGAAAGCACUUUAGCUUGAUCUGGAGUUUCCCUUUCUCCAUUGUUCCCAAUAUAUAGCAAGAUUAAUUCUUGAAAUGCUGGGUCCUAGAAGAAGACAUUGUUAUUUAACUUACAACAUAGAAGAUUGUCGUUCUAAUUGGUUCCAUCAAUCUAACUCAGGUUACAACAUAGAAGAUUGUCGUUUUAAACACAUAACUUAAACAUGAGUCCUGAUCCAACAUGUCAAUAAUACCAUAGACAUUGAAAUAAAUCAGUUAAACCAUAUGUAGAAUCAAACAUACAAAUAAAUUCAUACAGUAAAAUAAAAGCACUUGAAGAGUAUUGGAUCAAAAAGGCAUAUGCAGGAAAUAAAAGCAAAUAACAUUUUUAAAAAGACAAAAAUAAAAACUUUUACCUUUCAACAAAUAUUCGGAUAUCUCUCCAGUCUUCUCCGAGUUCAUCACAGAUUCAGCCAAUGUCUUUAACACAAAUCACUUUCACUACUAAACCCAACCUCAACAGUGUGUCGAUGACCUUGUCAACUGCCAUUACCACCU
rnacentral:lncRNA from 1 species